rnacentral:lncRNA from 1 species
CUUGCCCAGGGUCACAAGGGGUCAGCUGCAGGGAACCAACCCCAUUAUGACCAUGUGCCCUGGCUGACAGGUACCAUCCCACUGAAUCCUCACACGUGCCCUGAGAGUGGGCAUUCUGAGCUGGCUGAGCAGGGAGGAAAGGCAGGCUCCGAGAGGCUAAGAACCUGGCUGGAGAUCACCUAGCCACUACAGUGUAUUUCCAGUGCCUAAAACAGUGGCUAGCACAGAGCAGGUACUCAAUCUUUGUGGAAGGAAGGAAGGAAUGAGUGGCUGGCCCUGAGAGACAUUAGCUACUUUAACCCUCAUAACAACCCCUGCAAGGUGGGCACGCAAAUAUUGGGUGAAUGAAUAAGCAAAGACAGCAGGAAACAAGUGGAUUCAGAAGAAAAAAGACCAGGAGGCUCACAAAUAAACCCAUUUAAUCCUAAAAUCAACCUGCACAGAAGGUGUCAUUAUGCCUACACCGCUGGGAAGCCACAAAGUAGACCCAGGACUGUGCAACUCCGAGAGGAAAAGAGAAAAUGCUGCAGGUAAGCGGAGAAGCAGGUGAGCCCGACACGGAGGGCAAAGGCAAGCUGCCUCUGGGGCCCAGGGCACUGAACACCAUCUCCUCAAAGGCUGACAUAACUGAGAAGGGUCCACAUUUUCCACCAAGUGGAGCCCGUGUAGGGUCGGUGCUAUCUCCAUGCCCCUGACACACCAUGGCACCUGCGUUCACCCAGAAGGUACCUGCCCACAGCAUGCAUCCAUCAUUGAGAGUGCGCAAAACCAAGUUCUAAUUUCCAGGCACUAAUACCAUAGGACACAAACAUAAACCACCCUCCAGGAGGACACCUGACAUCCCUCUCCUUUCUGGGUAGUCUGAAGUGAGAAGGUUGAAAAUAGUGCAGAUGUCCUUUCUUAGAGCAGCCCCGCCAUCCAUUCAUUCACUCUUUCAUUCAUUUGUUCAGCCAACAUGUGCUCACUGGGCCUGGGGAAGCCCAGGAUGAAAUGAGACAAACCCUCUGCCCUCUGGCCACGGUGUGCUGGUGCCUGCGCUUUAGGCGGGUACUAAAAGACAAGCAAAUAUUAAAGAUACUCGCUUCCAAAACAAAUAAGGCCACGUGGAGCUGUGCACUGGAAUGGGAUUCUGGAUGCAAUUUUAUUUGAUUGGGUACAAGAACCAAUCCAGUUAAAGGGGUCAUGAACCAACUCCAGGCACCAGGCUCCUACUCAGAGGCUGCCUCAGACCCCCUUCUGGCCCAGGCACCAACCCCUCACCCACCCAACUCCAUCUCCCGACAUUCUUCAACCACAUUCCCAUCUCGCUCCACAAUAUUCUCCCUCCAGGUCCCCCUGACUCUAUUUCUCCUCUAUUCCCAACCCUGACCUCUCUAGGUCGGCAGCCUUGAUGCUACUUCUCCGAACGCCAGGACGCACAUCCCAGCCUGCUUUCUACCACCACCCCACACACCUCGAGUCUGCGCUUCCACCCAGAACCCCUUAAACACCAUAUGUUUACAAACCAGAUUCCCCAGGGGUCUAUGUACAACACCCCAUUCUCAAGACCCCAUAAACACAUCCUGAUUCCCUGAGCACACCAUACACACACUGUGGACUUCACCCAUGUCCUGAGGGACCCCCUCACCCCAUCACCUCCAACUUCUUGGAAGCCCCAGGCCGGCCCCUGACCUCCUGUGGUCCCAGUGGAGCAGCGGACUCGCUGAGACCCCCGGACAC